rnacentral:rRNA from 1 species
GACGAACGCUGGCGGCGUGCCUAAUACAUGCAAGUCGAACGCAGUGGGGACGGGUGAGUAACCCGUGGGUAACCUCCAAUCAGAGGGGAUCACACAUGGAAACAGGUGCUAAACCGAUACUGAUGGAUGGACCAGCGGUGCAUUAGCUAGUGGGCGGGGUAACUGCUAACCAAGGCAACGAUGCAUAGCCGGCCUGAGAGGGUGAUCGGCCACACUGGGACUGAGACACGGCCCAGACUCCUACGGGAGGCAGCAGUAGGGAAUCUUCGGCAAUGGACGAAAGUCUGACCGAGCAACGCCGCGUGAGUGAAGAAGGUUUUCGGAUCGUAAAACUCUGUUGUUAGAGAAGCGGUAUCUAACCAGAAAGCCACGGCUAACUACGUGCCAGCAGCCGCGGUAAUUC